GGGAAAACGCUCCGAUCUUGCGUCUCUCACCAACACCAAAGAAACUUGUGCCCAUUUUAAUCUGAUUAAUGCUUUAGGAUUUUCUGCUAAUUGGCUUGGAUGUAGCUGAACAACGCAUUUGGGUGUCUGCUUUGUUUUGUUUUUCCUUUUCCUCCGUUUUUUUUCUGGGUUUUGGAUACAUACCGGAGCUGAUUUGAGUUUUUGGCUUUUGUAUCAAACUAUUAUUGAUAUUUCCCCCCCUCAAAACACUUUUUUUUCUCUCGAAUCAUAUCACCGUUCCCUUUUUGAAAACCGGCUGCCAAACAGAAUACGCGCUUUCUGUAAAUUAUAUCGUCACAUGCUGGAUCUUGACCAUACCAUUCCGAUGUGUACGGCUGGUUACAGACAAUACAGUGAAUUAAUCCUUUAGACAUGACCAUAAAGACUGUCAGAACAACAGCUGAUAACCUAGGGUCUCAGAACUCAAAACUGAAGAAUUUGCAGCACUUUUCUGGACACUCCACUCAAAGAGCUUUACAGAUAAUCCCCUUCACCAAUGCCGAUGUGCAGCCCCACCUGGAUGAUGCGACGGCAGCCAUAGUGCGCCAGAAUGCUCACCACACACCAGUU